rnacentral:rRNA from 1 species
UGGGAACACUGAUAAACCCAGAGGCGAAAUGAAAGUGAAAGGCCGGCCUCGAGCCGGUCGCAGGGAAGAUGCGCGGGCGUCGUCAGACGCCCCGCCGCAUUCCCGAGGCGUUUCGAGAAAGCCCCCGUGCGAUUAUCGAGACGCACUGAGAGCGUACACGCUGGGACCCGAAAGAUGGUGAACUAUGCCUGGUCAGGUCGAAGUCAGGGGAAACCCUGAUGGAGGACCGAAGCGAUUCUGACGUGCAAAUCGAUCGUCCGAACUGGGUAUAGGGGCGAAAGACUAAUCGAACUAUCUAAUAGCUGGUUCCAUCCGAAGUUUCCCUCAGGAUAGCUGGCGCUCGAGAAACAUGACGGUCCUCGGAUCGCCAUUCGCACAGUCUCAUCCGGUAAAGCGAAUGAUUAGAGGCAUUGGGGCCGAAAUGGCCUCAACCUAUUCUCAAACUUUAAAUGGGUGAGAUCUCCUUCUUGCUCGAAGAUGAAGUAGGAGCUCGGAUGGGAGUGCCAAGUGGGCCAAUUUUGGUAAGCAGAACUGGCGCUGUGGGAUGAACCAAACGUCGAGUUAAGGCGCCCAAUGAACGCUCAUCGGAUACCAUAAAAGGCGUUGGUCGCUCAGGACAGCAGGACGGUGGCCAUGGAAGUCGGA